rfam:Clostridiales bacterium 36_14 Ley3_66761_scaffold_2808, whole genome shotgun sequence.
CCUAUGGAGAGUACAGGAACUUGUGAGUAGUACAUGAAUUGAUUCGUUACAAAAGCAUACUCGCUGAAGUAGGAA